UUACCGAGUUUACAACUCCCAAACCCCUGUGAACAUACCACUUGUUGCCUCGGCGGAUCAGCCCGCUCCCGGUAAAACGGGACGGCCCGCCAGAGGACCCCUAAACUCUGUUUCUAUAUGUAACUUCUGAGUAAAACCAUAAAUAAAUCAAAACUUUCAACAACGGAUCUCUUGGUUCUGGCAUCGAUGAAGAACGCAGCAAAAUGCGAUAAGUAAUGUGAAUUGCAGAAUUCAGUGAAUCAUCGAAUCUUUGAACGCACAUUGCGCCCGCCAGUAUUCUGGCGGGCAUGCCUGUUCGAGCGUCAUUUCAACCCUCAAGCACAGCUUGGUGUUGGGACUCGCGUUAAUUCGCGUUCCUCAAAUUGAUUGGCGGUCACGUCGAGCUUCCAUAGCGUAGUAGUAAAACCCUCGUUACUGGUAAUCGUCGCGGCCACGCCGUUAAACCCCAACUUCUGAAUGUUGACCUCGGAUCAGGUAGGAAUACCCGCUGAACUUAAGCAUAUCA
rnacentral:rRNA from 2 species